rnacentral:tRNA from 1 species
CCUGUGAUCGUCUAGUGGUUAGGACACCAGGUUUUGAAAUUCCUGUGAUGUCCUGGUAACCUGGGUUCGACUCCCAGUCGCAGGU